rnacentral:rRNA from 1 species
GUAGGUGGCAAGCGUUGUCCGGAAUUAUUGGGCGUAAAGCGCGCGCAGGCGGUCCUUUAAGUCUGAUGUGAAAGCCCACGGCUCAACCGUGGAGGGUCAUUGGAAACUGGGGGACUUGAGUACAGAAGAGGAAAGCGGAAUUCCAAGUGUAGCGGUGAAAUGCGUAGAGAUUUGGAGGAACACCAGUGGCGAAGGCGGCUUUCUGGUCUGUAACUGACGCUGAGGCGCGAAAGCGUGGGGAGCAAACAGGAUUAGAUACCCUGGUAGUCCACGCCGUAAACGAUGAGUGCUGAGUGUUAGGGGGUUUCCCGCCCCUUAGUGCUGCAGCUAACGCAUUAAGCACUCCGCCUGGGGAGUACGGCCGCAAGGCUG